UCAGGUGAGAACACACAUCUUAGAGUUUGGAAACUGAGACCUCUUUUAGUAAAGGAAGAAAUUUUAGAGAAAAAGGAAAAGUGGGAUGAUGAAUGAGGAGAUAAAUCAACAAGCAAAAAGCCUGCAGGAAAAGCAAUGAUCUGGAAGAUGAGGGCUCAGGUACAACCCACACAGCAGAACCAGCAUUUGCACAGCACUGCUGAGAAUCUAUACACAACUUAAUUGUAUGCAAACAAUUUGCACUUUGAGACACUCUGUUAAGUUUUAUUAUUCAUUUCUCACAUUUCAUUAUGUCUUUGUUAAUGUCCCACUUUUAUCUUUCAUAUUUUAUCUUUUGUGGCAAAAUUCCUUACAGCCAAUUGGUUAGGCAGAGAAAGUACAGCAAAGAUGCUUACAGGGAACAUAUCUGGAACCACCAGUGUGAGCUCUCACCCAGACUGCUGGCUGGCCAGUCCGCCUGAAUGGAACAGGACACUGCUCUGACCUCCCAAGUUGUCCCUGGACCUCCAACCUUCAUGACAGUACCAUAAAUGAAAAGAAUCUCGAGGCUUGGGUUAAUGGAAUAGCUCACACCAGCCUCAAUUGGAAAGUCUUGCCUUGAUCAGGAAAAUUAUUCAAUCCAUUUUUAUACUUUCUGCUUUCAGUCCUUACUAGAAUGUUUACUUAACCAAUGCAAAUUGCAAGAAAAUCUAUACUUAAGAAAAUUGGAAAGAGAAUUGCAAGGAAAUCUUAAACUUAAGACUUUUUCUUUCCUAGGGUUUUGUUAUCCAGCCAUUAGGAGGUAUCAGCUCAUAAAGGUAACAGGAAAAAGCAAGCCCCAGAGAACACAAUCAAGCCUGUUUAAGUAAGUGCUGUGCAGGGCACCCAGGAAAUGGCUUCUCUAAAGUACUACAGCUUCAUUGGGAAACAGUCUUUGUCAAAGGUUAGCAUCUAGUGCAAACAAAACAUAGCCACUUAUUCUUCCUUAAUAUCUUAAAAAAUCUGGAGACCUGAACCUGGCUAUCUGCUAGGAACUAGGACAAGAAAAAGGGACUAAAGAAAUCCUUCUAAAAGUCACCUUGUCAGGUGUACAGAGGGACUGAUGUCCUCUGGGUGAUGCCAAGAGGUAACCCUGGAGCCAAGGCUGUGCCUAAGCCAGGUGCCUCCAUCAUGUUUACUCAAGCCUCAAAAGCUGCUGGCAUCGGAAAUGAUGGUGACCAUCACAGGAGCCAGCUAGGAGGGCUUCCCAUCCACAGACUCUGGGCCAUCACAUCCACAGCCUUGCAAUAAUUUCAAGUCAAAGGGAACUUUAAUAUUUUACCAGAAGGAGAUACCCACUUCAUGGUUUGCCUACUGUCUGAAGGGCUAGUCCAUAUCCCAAAGCAGGAGCUAGAGUGAGACUCUUCCUGAUGCCAGGCAGAGGAAGCGCCAGAACCACCACCACAGCAGGGGAGAACUGAGCCUUGGUAAUACCUGCCACUUCUCCAGGGUAAAAGGGCACUGCCUGGCUGCCAGGACCAGAGUCCCUAUCCAGCUGGCCAUCAGCAUGCCCCUGCCUCCUGCCUGCCUGUGGUGAACUCUCUGCCUGGAGGUCUCUGUCCCUUUUGGGUCCUUGGUGCCUAUAUUAGUUAGUUUGGGCUGCUGGAACAAAGUGCCACAGGUGGGGUGACAACAGACCUUUACUGUUUCUCAGCUUGGGGCUGCAACUCCAUGGUCAAAGUGUGGGGAGGGUGGUUUCUGUGGGUGAUCUGCCUGCCAGGGAAGGACCCACUCAGGCGCCUCCCAUGGCUGGUGGAUGGCCAACUUCAUGUUCACAUGGCCUUCGCCCCCUGUGCCAAUUCCCCUUCUGAGAAGAACACAGGUCACUUUGGAUCAGGGCCCACCCUAAUGACCUUGUUUUACCUUAAUUUACCUCUUUAAAGGCCUUCCUUCCAAAUACAGCCACAGUCUUUGUGUCUGUAUGUGUUUUCCCAUUUUUUUCACAUUUUGAUGUUAAAGUACUUGAGGUUCUCUUCCUUAAAACUUUAUUGGACUAUAGUUUCAGGUGUACAGUGAAGUGAAUCAGUUAUACAGAUACAUAUACCCAUUCUGCUUUCCCAUACAGGUUAUUACAGCCUACUGAGUAGAUUUCCAUGUGCUAUACAGUAGGUUCUUGUGAAUCAUCUAACCUAUGCAGUAGUGUAUAUAUGUUAGUCCCAUCCUCCCAAUCCCCUCUCUCUCCUCCACAGAUUCCCCUAUGGUAACCAGAAGAUUGGUUUUGAAAUCCAAAUACAAUCACAUUCUGAGGUACUGAUGGUUAGGAUACUAGCACUUGAAUUUGGGGGGACAUGGCUCAGCCCACAACAUCACUGCUAAGAGCAUCAUCAUUUUAUUACAGGGAAAUCACAGCACAAAGAGAAGCCCAAAGUCUUAAAAAAGCAAAGGGAUCUGCACCAACUCCAGGGUGGGGGAACCAGAAGUGUGGUGUCCAGAGAACUGAAGGGAAAAGCUUUCUUCAGGUGGCCAUCAAGGUUGCAGGUCUGUGUGCAGGUGGCUGGGCCUCAGAUGUAACUAAGAGGAAGGCAGGCAGGCACCUGUUGGAGUCAGGGCCCAGUGCUGGGGUCAGUACUGAGACCUGACUCAGCCCCUUGCGGGAGUGCAGGAAAGGGGCAGCCAAGUCUGCUGCUGCCCCCACCUCUACCUUCAACUAUCCCACGAGUCAUCUUAGCCCACAUCAUCUCUAACCCCAACAUUACUCCCUCAUUGGCCUCUGAAUCUCUUCCUUUUUUAAACUCAAAUUUUAUUUCAAAAGAAUAACCAGAAUCAAGCCAGUAAACAUGACUUAAUUGCUGAAUCCAAAGGGUGGACCUGGAGGGGCGGGAGGCAGAUUUCAAGGUGAGGACCAGUGAGAGAGAUACAGGACUCCUGGGCCCAUAAAAUUAUAAGAAGUUGCAGGAAGGGGUGGAGGAUCUGAUGAAAUGGGCAUAAUGUGUCCUCAGAGCCAAGCUGGAAGUAACUAAAAAGUCUAAGGAGAGCCAAAGAAAUUCAAAAUAGCACCAAGCAAUUAAGGAAAUUCACUGUAAAACUAAAAUUGCAGAUUUGAAGCCUUAAGAAUCCCCCAGGUUUCUGUAAGGAAGCAGUGCCUUGGGCUGCUGGGCUGCAGGACCCAGCCUUGUAAAUAAGGAAGGACUGGCCAGAGAAAGCACCAGGUACAGGCUAAAACACAAGUCAUGGUCCCAGCCCCCUGGUGGAUGGUCAACCCCAGCCUGAGACUCUGGGUCACACUGCUGUGCUGGUCUGAUUCCUUCACUCCAAGAAGCCUUGACAAACCAAGGAAUUCCCACUGUGGCACAGCGGGUUAACAACCAGUUGGAUCUGUGUCCGAUUUGAUCCCAGUCUGGUGUGAAUCGGGCAUUGCCACAGCUAGAGCACAGGUCACAGAUGCCAAAGCUGUAGCACAGGUUACUGAGGAAAGGGAGGAGCAGGAUACUUAGGGGGUUUUGCAACAAGACCAGGUAGCUGGAACAUGAAAAGAUUACUGUUAAUUAAAAAAAAAAACAGACAUUACAAGUUAUUGAACUCAGCACUUUUCUCUAUAUGGGAAGAGGCGAGAGUCUGGGCUGACUGAAAUCACUCCCUUGAUGGGCACCUCUGCUCUCUGGGGCCAGUGCCCUGCUCUUCUCCAUCCUGAGUCCCCUCAGGGUGCACAGUCAGGGUGGCUGCAGUGGCUGAGGGUAUGGUGGUGAGCAGCCCCUUCAUUGCCAUCCUGGCUUCCCUCAGGGCUCACCCUCAGGGCUGCUAUAAUAUGAUGGCUUGAUGGCCACGGCAUCCUUUGUUUACUGAUGUGGCAGGAGAUAUUUUUCACUCACAGUUUCCUGAGUCUAUGUUCUCCAGGACAGUGUGACAUGACCCUCUGAGUCAUUGCAUCCUUUGGAGCAAAGAGCUGGACAAGUCCAGAUCCAAAACUAAGGGCUGUGCUGCAGGCCAUGACCCUCCCUUAUCAGGCUGCUGGAGGCCCACAUGGGAAGUGCCAUGUUCAUGGACCACCUUUGUCCCUCCAUCUGGGAAAACCCCACCUGCUCAACUGGGCAGGAAAUCCGAGGCCAGGACCCUUGUCCACUUUAGACUUGGUCUCCAUCCCCCAAAAGCAUUUUUUUUUUGGUCUUUUUAGGGGCACACCUACAGCAGAUGGAAGUUACCAGGAUAUGGGUGGAAUCCUAGCUGCAGCUGCCAUAUAAUUGGAAUGAUACCCAGGGAGUUCUGGACAACCAGACACCAGCCCCAGCAGCAGCCAUAUCAGCAUCACCCUGAAGCCUCCAUGAGGGAGAUGUGAGUGUGCAUUCUGGCUUUUCUGUGCUAUGAAUUCUGCAGAUAAGAUUUGUGGAGAGGACCCUGGGGCUGCCUACACAAUACCCAGGAUCCUGUUAGGGUCUCACCAAGCAGAGGGAGCCAGCAACUAGCAGACACCUGCUAAGGAGUCAGAGGAGUCACAGGUCUCAUUAGGAGAAGCCUCUGAGAAAGAGCACGGGAAAUGGGUUCUGUCUUACUUAGGACCUUGUCUGGAACUCUCCACCCUCUCCCUAUCAGCUUUUAACCCUUGCUAGCCCUGGACUGCAUCCCAACCCCAUCCUGAUCCCAUCCACAGCUUACUUUUUGUGAUUCAGAAAGCUAGGACCAAGCUCUCAGUCCAGCUAUCAACC
rnacentral:lncRNA from 1 species